AGAUACUCCCAAGUCUCGCCACGGAUGGCGGUGAUAGGGAUAACGGCUGGUUGGCACAGCCAGCGGUUCACCUGUUCGACCGUAGUGAGGGCCGUUUCGCCCCACGAGAACAGGUUGUGAACCGCGAACCGUAAUAUCCCAACUCAGCGGUGCGGUGCCGUGGGAUUCCCGCGUCUUCAGGCGCGGGA
rfam:Haloterrigena limicola JCM 13563 contig_64, whole genome shotgun sequence.